AUCUUAUCCAGAGAGGCGGAGGGACUGGCCCGGUGAAGCCUCAGCAACCAGCCGGAUUCCGGCCAGGUGCUAAUUCCAGCAGAACUUCUGUUCUGGAAGAUAAGAU
rnacentral:ncRNA from 2 species